rnacentral:rRNA from 1 species
CCUACGGGAGGCAGCAGUGAGGAAUAUUGGUCAAUGGACGAGAGUCUGAACCCGCCAAGUAGCGUGAAGGAUGACUGCCCUAUGGGUUGUAAACUUCUUUUAUAUGGGAAUAAAACGUUCCACGUGUGGGAUUUUGUAUGUACCAUAUGAAUAAGGAUCGGCUAACUCCGUGCCAGCAGCCGCGGUAAUACGGAGGAUCCGAGCGUUAUCCGGAUUUAUUGGGUUUAAAGGGAGCGUAGGUGGAUUGUUAAGUCAGUUGUGAAAGUUUGCGGCUCAACCGUAAAAUUGCAGUUGAAACUGGCAGUCUUGAGUACAGUAGAGGUGGGCGGAAUUCGUGGUGUAGCGGUGAAAUGCUUAGAUAUCACGAAGAACUCCGAUUGCGAAGGCAGUUCACUGGACUGCAACUGACACUGAGGCUCGAAAGUGUGGGUAUCAAACAGGAUUAGAUACCCUAGUAGUC